AUGGAAAAGAAAUGCAAAAAAGCAAAAUGGCUGUCUGGGGAGGCCUUACAAAUAGCUGUGAAAAGAAGAGAAGGGAAAAGCAAAGGAGAAGAGGAAAGAUAUAAGCAUCUGAAUGCAGAGUUCCAAAGAAUAGCAAGAAGAGAUAAGAAAGCCUUCCUCAGCGAUCAAUGCAAAGAAAUAGAGGGAAACAACAGAAUGGGAAAGAGUAGAGAUCUCUUCAAGAAAACAAGAGAUACCAAGGGAACAUUUCAUGCAAAGAUGGGCUCGAGAAAGGACAGAAAUGGUAUGGGCCUAACAGAAGCAGAAGAUAUUCAGGAGAGGUGGCAAGUAUACACGGAAGAACUGUACAAAAAAGAUCUUCACGAGCCAGAUAAUCACGAUGGUGUGAUCACUGACCUAGAGCCAGACAUCCUGGAAUGUGAAGUCAAGUGGGCCUUAGAAAGCAUCACUAUGAACAAAGCUAGUGGAGAUGAUGGAAUUCCAGGGGAGCUAUUUCAAAUCCUGAAAGAUGAUGCUGUGAAAGUGCUGGGCUCAAUAUGCCAGCAGAUUUGGAAAACUCAGCAGUGGCCACAGGACUGGAAAAGGUCAGUUUUCAUUCCAAUCCCAAAGAAAGACAAUGCCAAAGAAUGCUCAAACUACCACACAAGUGCACUCAUCUCACGUGCUAGUAAAGUCAUGCUCAACACUCUCCAAGCCAGGCUUCAGCAAUACGUAAACCGUGAACUUCCAGAUGUUCAAGCUGGUUUUAGAAAAGGCAGAGGAACCAGAGAUCAAAUUGCCAACAUCCGCUGGAUCAUGGAAAAAGCAAGAGAGUUCCAGAAAAACAUCUAUUUCUGCUUUAUUGACUAUGCCAAAGCCUUUAGCUGUGUGGAUCACAAUAAACUGUGGAAAAUUCUGAAAGAGAUGGGAAUAGCAGACCACCUGACCUGCCUCUGGAGAAAUCUGUAUGCAGGUCAGGAAGCAACAGUUCGAACUGGACAUGGAACAACAGACUGGUUCCAAAGAUGA
rnacentral:lncRNA from 1 species